CGCAGCUGAUCAGCCAUGCCGCGUGCAGGAGAAGGCCUUAUGGGUUGUAAACUGCUUUUCCCGGGGGAAAAACCUUCCGAUGCAUCCGGGGUUGACGGGACCCUGCCAAUAAGCAUCGGCUAACUCCAUGCCAGCCGCCGCGGCAAUG
rnacentral:rRNA from 1 species